AACACUCACCAUGAAGGAAGCGGCAGACUCAAACUUAGAAAAUUCUGCAUCAAUUCCAAGUGAAACCUCAAAAUGAUGGCGGACACAAUUUUUUGUUCAAGAUUCAAGUUAAAUUGUGUGAAGGGUAUCCAACGAUUUUGAUCUCUUGCGGUAAAUUCAAAGAUUUGAGUAAUCCAAAGGUUACACUUCUUAAUAUCUUAUUUUUCUGUGAAACAAGAUGAUUCAUACGUUGACACCUACAUAUCAGUACAAUUGGAGUGGACUUUAUAAGCAUUCACAUCCACCACUUAACCUUUGCAAAUCUCUUGUUUCUAUUGGUUAAGAAGAUUACAUAAUGCAAGUAUAGCUAAAGUGUGGAAUAUUUAUCUGUUUAUAAGAUCUGAAGGGAAGCUGUUAGCAAGCUUAGUUAACGAGGAUUGACACUGGAAAGAUAAUGUAGAAGAUUAAUUUGGUUUUACAUCUAAGGGAGAUUUGUGGGCCGAAAUACAGACAUAGCUGCAAAAUUGGUUCUAAACUUCUAAAGGAUUUAUGCAUGAUAAUACAAUGUUUAAAAGGAUUUUAUAUAUAGUUUCAUUCGAUCUUAAUGGUCUUAACUUUGUU